UAACAUCACAAUACUUAUUUAUACUUAUAUUCAUUAUAGUUAUUAAUGUAUUAAAGGAUAAGUUCACUCAAAAAUGAAUUUUUGAGUGGCUGGCGUGAACACGGAUUAUUUUAUUCUGAAAAGUAACCGGAUGUUGUGAUGUUGUUUCGGUGAGUCACUUCCGGUCUGAGCCGCUUCAGCAUCCAGCAGAUAGAAUCCUGAUACCAACUGCCGGAAACCGCCGAGGGAGUCCGAGUCCUCGCGAGCGGCGGGAAGAAGAGUAUCAGUGCAUCGUUUUCAUCACAACAUCUAACAACAAGUCGCUACGUCACGUCUCAUUCACCUCAGCAGGAGGACAGCCAGACCAACUCUGAUGUCACAUAAAGAUCUCUGGAUCAGACUGAACGUGACUGAGAAUGGAUGUGGAAACAAGCGAGUCGACACAAAGUCCUGGAGAAAGUGAUCUAGAACCAGAACAUCCAGAACACAAGAUACCCAGGGAGAUCAACGGGUCAGGUUUGGAUUCAGAUAACAGUGGCCUUGUAAGAGUGGACAGCUGCAGCUCCACUAUAUCCUGUGAGUCCUUCAGGAGUGAUCGGUCAAAAGAGGAACCAGAUGAUUUCAAAGGAAGUCAAUCUCCUGACAGUGAAGGGAUGAAUCUCUCAACUACCAAGAAGUCUGUUGAUGGAGGUGGGAUGAAAGCCUUGCUGAUGUACCUGCCAGGAGCUUCUUCCAUCGGUUGGUUCCUGAAAUCUGCUCUGCUGUUGCUGCCAGUCCUGUAUCACGGUGCUAAAAAAAAGUUGUUUAAAUGA
rnacentral:lncRNA from 1 species